rnacentral:tRNA from 1 species
UGGGGGUAUAGCUCAGCUGGGAGAGCGCCUGCUUUGCACGCAGGAGGUCAGCGGUUCGAUCCCGCUUAUCUCCAU